GCCAGACUCCUACGGGAGGCAGCAGUGGGGAAUAUUGGGCAAUGGGCGCAAGCCUGACCCAGCAACGCCGCGUGAAGGAAGAAGGCUUUCGGGUUGUAAACUUCUUUUGACAGGGAAGAGUAGAAGACGGUACCUGUCGAAUAAGCCACGGCUAACUACGUGCCAGCAGCCGCGGUAAUACGUAGGUGGCAAGCGUUGUCCGGAUUUACUGGGUGUAAAGGGCGUGUAGCCGGGUUGACAAGUCAGAUGUGAAAUCCUGCGGCUUAACCGCAGAACUGCAUUUGAAACUGUUGACCUUGAGUACUGGAGAGGCAGACGGAAUUCCUAGUGUAGCGGUGAAAUGCGUAGAUAUUAGGAGGAACACCAGUGGCGAAGGCGGCUUACUGGACUGUAACUGACGUUGAGGCUCGAAAGCGUGGGGAGCAAACAGGAUUAGAUACCCGAGUA
rnacentral:rRNA from 1 species